UACGUAGGGUGCAAGCGUUGUCCGGAAUUAUUGGGCGUAAAGAGCUCGUAGGCGGUCUGUCACGUCGGCUGUGAAAUCCCGAGGCUCAACCUCGGGUCUGCAGUCGAUACGGGCAAACUAGAGUACUGCAGGGGAGACUGGAAUUCCUGGUGUAGCGGUGAAAUGCGCAGAUAUCAGGAGGAACACCGGUGGCGAAGGCGGGUCUCUGGGCAAUAACUGACGCUGAGGAGCGAAAGCGUGGGGAGCGAACAGG
rnacentral:rRNA from 1 species